GGUUAGCUCAGUUGGUAGAGCAGAGGACUGAAAAUCCUCGUGUCGCUGGUUCGAUUCCGGCUCUGGG
rnacentral:tRNA from 1 species